CCAUAGGAUCAUCACUGGCUUCAAUACGGUUUCAGGUAGUGGAAGGAAAAGGCCUCUUUACACAGGAUGACAUAUUUCCUGAGACGUUCCCUCACGGAGAAUCAUCAGACACGUGUGGGAGACACCUGGAGCUCCUCAAAAAAGCCGUGAUUAAUAGCUCCUUGUUGAUCCUUGCCAAGGGUCAGACGUUCACACGGUGCCACUGAUCGUGGUCCCAGUUGUGCGGCGGCCUACCCUUUGAUCUCCACCAUGUACCUGACACGAUCCAGUCACGACUGUGCUAGCCAUCUGCCCGCAGAUUCCUGGUGCGUUUAAAGGAACGGUGCUAACUGAUCUUCAGGGAAAAUCCCCACGCACCCGUUGCUCGUUGAACGCGAUUAGCAAAUGAAUAUCUGAAUAAACAGAUUCAAUAAGUCUGGCCUCAAACUAGGUCUUUGAGAUCAGAGUGGCUGGUCCGGUUCCCAGACCAGCAGGAUAAAUCUGCAAGUGAAAGGUCAGCGUUUUCCCGCAUCUGUUCUUGUGGCACAUGCUCAAAUCUGAUAUUUAAGAUGCGCAAUUACAAAACAGAACAUAUAUAGCACAACCUUUCAGGAUAUUACAGGUCUUUACAAUGUGGAGAUUUUCGCUACAGAGCAAUUAUUUUAAGAGUGGGUUCCAUGUCCCCGCUAAGCGCUAAAUGAAUCACUGCUUCACCGCUGCCAUUAAAUAGUUGGAAAAAUAAAAUUAAAA